AUUUGUGUUAUGAAAUUAAAAUCUCUUGUAAUAAAAAAAAUGAGAGUAUUAGAAAAGCAUGAGAAUUGAGAAGUAGUCCUCAUAAACCAGAAACAGAAACGAACUAACCAAGAGAUAAAGAAAGAAAGUGUUGGAGAAUCAUUUGUAAGUUUUUGUUUUUCUGCUUACACUUUUUUUAUCACUACUUUUUUGUUUUUGGGCAUAACUGAGAUUUUGAUUGCAUGAUUUGGUUUUUCACUGUUGGCUUUGUGAAAAUAACUUAUGUUUAAUUUGAUUAGGGUUUAUCUGCAUCUCAAGUAUAGAAUGGGGGUUUCUGUUUUUCUGAGUAAAAAUAGGGUCUUUGGGUAGUCCAAAAUCCCAAUUAGAUUCUCUCAUAAAGGGAAAUAUCUGCAUUGUAUUUUAGGACAUCGUUGUGUGAAGUCCAAUGAUGUAAGUGGAUAAUGGUGAAAAUUUGUCAUCUUGAAGGGGAAUUUUGGUAUCAAAUGAAAUUGUUAGGGGGUUUCAGUGUAAAUGCUUUAUUUUUAGUAUGGUAUCUAACUAUCUUUAAUGUUAACCCACUUGUAUUUUAAUUCCUUAAUUUUAAUAUUUGCUAACGACUUUAAAAAUAAUUCAGUUUCGUCAAGUAAAGUGGCUAUGCUAUAAAAUAAGAGUGCUACUUUUAACUUAAAUAUAUUUUUUUCAAUCAGUCACAAGGUAUGUACUUAGAGUGACACGACACUCGUUAUGCGACCACAUAUGUGCACUCAAGUCGCAUAGGUGUGGUAAGCACAAAUCGAAGUCUUCAAUUUUUUUCCAAGUCAACAACAUAUGAAUAUUGCAGUGGGUCAUGAAUCCUUUUUGUUUUGAAUAACUAUUUGGUCAUGCACCAUUUACUCACUAACAUCAUGACUAACUCUUUUUCUAUGUUUCUAAGUCUUUUAUACUAAUUUAUUUCUUUGAGCAAUUUCCUACAUGAAUGUUGGUGUAGGGAUUUGUUUCUUUUUUAACCAUUUCUUUCUCCAUCACUGAGCCUACUUACUUGACUCAUUGCCCCAAAAACUGAAGCUAUGUAAAGCUAUUCCCACGGGAACAAGUUUGUUUGUAAUCUAUUUAUUAUUUUAUUUAAAGUUUGGUUUGAUAUUGUCAAAGCUUGAUAU
rnacentral:lncRNA from 1 species